GUGCUCUGUGGAGCAGCAGAUGAACAAGAAGUAAUCAACGGGCAUUCCUACUCUCUCUCCUUCCCCUGUCUUAAGAAGCUAAAUAUCCAGAGAUGUCUGAAACUUAAGUAUCUGUUCGGCCACGGGUGUGAACACUCCUUUCCAGACCUACAGGCGAUUGUCAUCCAGGGUUGUGAGGAAAUAGAAGGGAUAACUGCAGCGGCAGCUGGUUCACCGGUUCCUGCUUUCCCCAGUCUAGAAGAGAUCGAUGUGAAGUCUUGUGGCAACAUGAAGAGGGUAGUUGAAUCUGAGUGGCUUCUCCAUUUCCCUAAUCUGAAGAAGGUUAAAGUACGGGGAUGCAAGAAGAUGGUCGAGAUAAUAGGACGGCCACCUCCAUGCAUGCCAGUGGAUACGGCCCUUUUGGAUGUGAGCUCAUUUCAAAAACUCGAGCUUCUAGAGAUUAUUGAAGGGGAGAACUUGCAGGUGCUCUGUGGAGCAGUAGAUGAACAAGAAGUAAUCAACGGGCAUUCCUACUCUCUCUCCUUCCCCUGUCUUAAGAAGCUAAAUAUCCAGAGAUGUCUGAAACUUAAGUAUCUGUUCGGCCACGGGUGUGAACACUCCUUUCCAGACCUACAGGCGAUUGUCAUCCAGGGUUGUGAGGAAAUAGAAGGGAUAACUACAGCGGCAGCUGGUUCACCGGUUCCUGCUUUCCCCAGUCUAGAAGAGAUCGAUGUGUCUUGUGGCAACAUGAAGAGGGUAGUUGAAUCUGAGUGGCUUCUCCAUUUCCCUAAUCUGAAGAAGGUUAAAGUAUGGGGAUGCAAGAAGAUGGUCGAGAUAAUAGGACGGCCACCUCCAUGCAUGCCAGUGGAUACGGCCCUUUUGGAUGUGAGCUCAUUUCAAAAACUCGAGCUUCUAGAGAUUAUUGAAGGGGAGAACUUGCAGGUGCUCUGUGGAGCAGUAGAUGAACAAGAAGUAAUCAACGGGCAUUCCUACUCUCUCUCCUUCCCCUGUCUUAAGAAGCUAAAUAUCCAGAGAUGUCUGAAACUUAAGUAUCUGUUCGGCCACGGGUGUAAACUCUUCUUUCCAGACCUACAGGCGAUUGUCAUCAAGGGUUGUGAGGAAAUAGAAGGGAUAACUGCAGCGGCAGCUGGUUCACUGCUUCCUGCUUUCCCCAGUCUAGAAACGAUCAAUGUGGAGUCUUGUGGCAACAUGAAGGGGGUAGUUGAAUCUGAGUGGCUUCUCCAUUUCCCUAAUCUGAAGGAGAUUAAAGUACAGAGAUGCAAGAAGAUGGUCGAGAUUAUAGGACGGCCACCUCCAUGCAUGCCAGUGGAUACGGCCCUUUUGGUAAGGCAUCUUCAAGUGGAACAUUGCAACAUACAGAAGUUGCUUCCGCUGGAAUUGUUGCCACAUCUUCGGAAUCUUCAACGCAUCCAUGUAAAUGACUGCACAGGAAUGGAGGAA
rnacentral:lncRNA from 1 species